AGUGAGAUGCAGUUGAGAGAGGUGAAGAAAAGGAGUUUAUUAUUACUCUGUGUCUGAUCUGAGAAAAAAUAAUGGUACUUUAAUUCCCAGUUGUGGUCCUCCACUGUGUUUAAGCAACAUAGAUUACCUAAAAUUGUUAAAAGCAGUUAUUGCACAGUAAUUUACACCAGGCAAAGUGACUGGUGCUGGAUUCCUCCCGUGCAGACUGUCCACUGCACAGCUUUGGUCCCACACAAGCACUGGGCAGCCCUAUUGCCUGGGCAUGCAGCCCUUUCCCCCCCAACCCCAGCAGCAAGAGUCCUGAGCCCAGCAGAAAGGUGCCAGACCCUCAUCUGAGAAAGCUCACACUGCAUUUUCCGCUCCAGAGCUGUCUCUGGGCUCCUCAAGCCCUAACCCAGACCUCUGACCAGGACUCCAGCUCCAGCUCAGUGAACUCAGUCCAGAAGACACGUGCACUGGGCUCUUGGCAGGGAGCAGAGGCCCUGGGAGAGGGAGGAAAACCACAGGAAAGACAGCAGGCUCUCUCUUCCAACUGCUGUUCCAUCUAUCUGACAGCAAAUCAGCUCUGUAGUGCACCAAAACUGGGUCACUUCACUUUCUGGCCUAACAGAGUAAAGCAGGAACAUGACUUUUUAAAGAUUCAAAGCUCAGAAGCAAUUCAGAGCUUUCUAAAAGAUCAGUGCAAACUAGGUCCUCCUCAGGUACCCAUUUCUGGAGCCGCCAGUCCGGAAAACGCUGACUGCCCUCUUGUGGCAAGUCUGGCUGAAAUCACCGGGUCACUGCAGACCCUCCAAGGAUGCUGCUCCGGGAGGCACUUGCUUUUGCUGCAAGGGCUUCUUUCCAGCCGGAGUUUUCCUCCUUGCAGCCUGUGUCGGGUGCCCCUCCUCCUUCUCCUGUGCACUCCCAUAAUGUUAUGGGAUCCAUCUCGCCGAUACGGUGACACAACUCACAGCAGAUCAGGUUUGUCUACAUGUGGUAGGUGCUGGGCAAGUUGCCCAGCUGCUGCCCUCCCUGAGAAAGACACACGACUCCCAUUGCAGCCCAGAGUCCUGUGGUGGACAGGUCAGUUUCUAGCUCCUUCUGUGGCUCACUAUAUGUGUGUAUGAUGUGGAGAAUUCAGACAAGGGGGAUUGAUUCUUUGAAUGGGGUUCACACCUAAUUCAAUGCCUUCUCAGCCACAGCGUUCACUUCCACAAGCAGAAUGUGACUGAUAUUAAGAUGCACUAAAAAUCUUUGAGCUUACAAAACGAAUUAAAAAUAUUUCCAGAUAUUUUAAAAUUUCAUUCUAGAUUAGAUUCUCCUUUCAUAACUCCUGUCUGGUCAAUGGCUGCAGCAACAAUGCUCUCCGCUUGGAUCUGGGCAGAUGCACAGCUGAUAAGGCCUUGGAGAGUGAAACUUCCCAGCUGCCAGACUGAAUUAGAGCUUGUGUCUCUCCACACUUGCAUCAGAGUGAUUUGGGAAAAGGAAUGGUGGAACCACACUACUGUCCACUGGAGAGCUGUGCUUCCGCAGACCAGGAUGUGUCAGCUCCAACUGCUCAGCAUGGGGAAGGGGGGAUGUGACGGAGGACCCUGGGUAUCCUGCUGGGCUGCUGCAGAGAGGAAAGUGAUUUAACCUGAGCCAGAAACCUCUGUGGAGCCUCAAAAAUAAUGGCGCUGGUGAAGAAAUGGACUCUCAUGGGGCUGGAUGGAAAAUAAGCAAAUUGCACACAGGCAGCCUGUUGGAAAGGGAAGAAUCACAGCGUUUCCAGUGACAGGAAUUCCCAAUUGUGGAAUAAACCCAAGAGCAGGAGCUACAAACCAACCCACUUCAUGAGGUUUCAGACUUUGCCUGUUUGUGGAUAGUUGGCGUCUUUCCCACGGAGAUGUGGACACUUGCCUAGCAAUGCUGAACAGAAACCAGUUCCCCAGUCACAAACUUGUGACCCCUACAGGUUUCCUUCCCACAGUAAAAAAGGCCACACCUGGAUAUCCUCCCAGCAGACAUGAAGUCUGUAUGUAGCUAAGGAAAAUGUAACUAAUGGCACAGAUUUUCUUGAGGACAAUGAUUCAAAGGUAAAUAGCACCCAUGCAGUCAACACUGCUGACCAGCAAUGGCAAAGGCACGUUCCCUCACCCACACUCUCCUUGUUACAUUAAUAAGGAGUAAUUUAAUUGGAGCAAUACAUUCAGGAAGGCUCAGGCAGCCAGCGUAAAAUAGCCUUGAAAUUUCUAAAUGCAAUAGGCAUUAGUUUCCAAGCUCAGAAAAUCCUGCAUCCUGACACAAGGGGAUCCUCUGCUAUACUUCUGCUCAAGAGAGAAAAAGCAGAUCCCUAGAAAUCAUUGAUUGCUUCAAAACAAAAGACUAACAUUUGAUCACACUUAAUUUGUUGGACAAAAUAAAGCUACAUCAAAUUUUUAUAUAUAUACACACACACACACUCAAUGCUGCACCAAUUUUCUGCAAAAUCCAUUUUUAUAUUUAUGCUACAAAUACCAGCCCAAGGAGAGGUAUCUAUGGUCCUUUGGUUUAAAAUACAGCCUUAAUUUUUUAUUAAAUUUUUUCCCAGAAAUUAAAUGCAAAUUUAUUGCAUAGGUAGCAACCAAAACAAUAUUUACCCAGGAGCUAAAAGGCUACUUUUUGUAACUACCAGAGACAGAAGUGUGAGACUUUUUCUGUAUUGACACAUUAUGGAAAAUGAAUGGAGAAUACCACUAA